UGGAAUGUAAACUGAGUGCUGAUUUGGUGUCAGUAUUGAAUUGUUGGUGUUAUUGAACUAGGUAGUUCUGAUUUGGUUAAGAUGGAUGUAGGGUUUGUUUGAAUGUGCAGAAGUGGUAAUGUUGUUAGUGUUUAGAUUCUUCAGGUUGUAGGGGUAUAAGUAAGAGCUGAGUUUGUGUUGUGCAGAGUUGGGUUGUAGUUGGAGUGAACUUACAGUUUUAUUGGAGUUAAAUCUCUCUUAUAGAAAGUUGUUGCUAAAAGCUGCAAUUGCA